UGUCCAGGGAUGGGAAUCGAACCCACAAUGUUCCGCUUACCGGACAGAUGCCAUGUCCACUAGGCUAUAUUUAUCCCGAUAUAUGGC
rnacentral:tRNA from 1 species